rnacentral:rRNA from 1 species
GAUGAACGCUAGCGAUAGGCUUAACACAUGCAAGUCGAGGGACCGGCGCACGGGUGCGUAACGCGUAUGCAACUUGCCUCACAGAGGGGGAUAACCCGUCGAAAGACGGACUAAUACCGCGUACUGUGAGAAAGUCAUGCGUCCUAUUAGCUAGUUGGUGAGGUAACGGCUCACCAAGGCCACGAUGGGGAGGGGAACUGAGCGGGUGAACCCCCAGACUGGUACUGAGACACGGACCAGACUCCUACGGGGGGGAGGAGUGAGGAGUAUAGGUGAAUGGGCGAGAGCCUGAACCAGCCAAGUCGCGUGAAGGAUGACUGGCUAGGAAUUGUAAACUUCUGUGGUGGAGGAAAAUGUACCCGACGAAUAAGCAUCGGCUAACGCCGUGCCAGCAGCCGCGGUAAUAC